AUUGAACGCUGGCGGCAGGCCUAACACAUGCAAGUCGAGCGGAUGAAGGGAGCUUGCUCCUGGAUUCAGCGGCGGACGGGUGAGUAAUGCCUAGGAAUCUGCCUGGUAGUGGGGGAUAACGUCCGGAAACGGGCGCUAAUACCGCAUACGUCCUGAGGGAGAAAGUGGGGGAUCUUCGGACCUCACGCUAUCAGAUGAGCCUAGGUCGGAUUAGCUAGUUGGUGGGGUAAAGGCCUACCAAGGCGACGAUCCGUAACUGGUCUGAGAGGAUGAUCAGUCACACUGGAACGGAGAAACGGGCAAGAACCAGAGGGGAGGCACAGGGGGGGAAUAUGGGAAAAUGGGGGAAAGCCUGACCCAGCCAGGCCGGGGGGGUGAAAAAGGUUUUCGGAUUGUAAAGCAUUUUAAGUUGGGAGGAAGGGCAGUAAGUUAAUACCUUGCUGUUUUGACGUUAAAAAAAAAAUAAGCACCGGCUAAAUUCGU
rnacentral:rRNA from 1 species